rnacentral:rRNA from 1 species
CGGCAACAGCUCAAAUUUGAAAUCUGGUCCCUAGGGCCCGAGUUGUAAUUUGUAGAGGAUGCUUUUGGCAAGGUGCCUUCCGAGUUCCCUGGAACGGGACGCCAUAGAGGGUGAGAGCCCCGUCUGGUCGGAUACCGCGCCUCUGUAAAGCUCCUUCGAC